rnacentral:rRNA from 1 species
GCCCGUUGAUCCUGCGGGAGGCCGCUGCUAUUGGGAUUCGAAUAAGCCAUGCAAGUCAGAUCAGCAAUGAUCGGCAGAAUGCGUAAUAACACGUCGAUAAUCUGCCCUUUGAUUGAGGAUAACCUUGGGAAACUGAGGAUAAUACUUAAUGAGAAAAAGUUACUGGAAGGUGCUUCUUCUAAAACGUAAGGUCAAAGGAUGAGACGGCGUCCGAUUAGGCUGUUGGUGGGGUAACGGCCCACCAAACCAAUGAUCGGUAGGGGCAAUGAAAGUUGUCGCCCCACGAAGGACACUGAGGAACUGGUCCUAGCCCUACGGGGUGCAGCAGGCUCGAAGUCUUUGCAAUAUGCGAAAGCGUGACAGGGGAAUCCCAAGUGCUCAUACCUAGUAUGGGCUUUUGCCAAGUGUAAAUAGCUUGGAGAAUAAGUGGUGGGCAAGACCGGUGCCAGCCGCCGCGGUAACACCGGCGCCACAAGUGGGGGCCGCGUAUUUGGCCUAAAGCGUCCGUAGCCGGCUUUGUACAUUUCUUGUGAAAUUGGUAUGCUCAACAUACCAGCGUGCAGGAAAGACGGCAGAGCUAGGAACUGGGAGAGGUCAGAAGUAUUUUGUGGGGAGCGGUUAAAUGCUAUAAUCCACAGAGGACUACCUAUGGCGAAGGCAUCUGACUAGAACAGAUUCGACGGUGAGGGACGAAAGCCGAGGGAGCAAAACGGAUUAGAUACCCGUGUAGUCUCGGCUGUAAACACUGCGAGCUAGGUAUUGCAGAAUCUUCGUGAUUUUGCAGAAUCGUAGCGAAGGGGUUAAGCUCGCCGCCUGGGAAGUAUAGUCGCAAGGCCGAAACUUAAAGGAAUUGGCGGGGGAGAACCCCAAGGGGUGCGGCGUGCGGUUUAAUGGAACUCAACGCCGGAAAUCUCACCAGAGCCGACGGCAGGAUGAAGGUCAGGUUAAAGACUUUACCUAACGAGCCGAGAGGUGGUGCAUGGCCGUCGUCAGCUCGUGUUGUAAGAUGUCCAGUUAAGUCUGGUAACGAGCGAGACCUGUAUCCAUAAUUGCCAGCGGGAAAGAAAUUUCGACCGGGCACAUUAUGGAGACUGCCUUCGCAAGAAGGAGGAAGGCGCAGGCUACGGUAGGUCUGUAUGCCCCGAAUGCUCUGGGCUACACGCGCGCAACGAUGGUUGGGACAAUGGGAUGCAACACCGUAAGGUGAAGCUAAUCCUCAAAACCCAAUCCUAGUCCAGAUUGAGGGUUGUAACUCACCCUCAUGACGUCGGAAUCCCUAGUAAUCAGAAGUUAUCAUCUUCUGGUGAAUAUGUCCCUGCUCCUUGCACACACCGCCCGUCAACCCAACCGAGCAGGGUCUGAAUGAUGUCCAGUUUUCUUGAUUGUACUGAAUUCGGGCUCAGUAAGGUGGGUUAAGUCGUCACAAGGUAUCCGUAGGGGAACCUGCGGAUG